rnacentral:lncRNA from 1 species
UGUAGGAAUGCUAUGUUCUCCAGGAUUUGACAUUUUUAGUGAUAGAGAACCACUAUGUUUUGUAAGAGGAAGCACCCACUACUAAAAACAGAAUGCUAUAAAUAGAAGGAUGUCUUUUGUUUCCAAAGUCAAUAUACUAGAGGGAUGAGAAAAUAGUAACAAAAGCAAGAUAUUUUGUGGCAAAGUUAUCUGGAAGCAAAUGAUGAAGCCUCAAGCACUGCCAAGUCUGGCCCUGUCGCCCAGGCUGGGGUGCAGUGGCGCGAUCUCAGCUCACUGCAAGCUCCGCCUCCCGAGUUCACGCCAUUCUCCUGCCUCAGCCUCUCGAGUAACUGGGACUACAGGCGCCCGCGACCACGCCCUAGCUGGGACUACAGGCGCCCGCGACCACGCCCGGCUGAUUUUUUUGUGUUUUUAGUAGAGACGGGGUUUCACCGUGUUAGCCAGGAUGAAUUAUUAAGUUUUAUAUCACUAUUUUGAAACAAAUUCGUAAAAAAAUCAGAAAUCUGAGAAACAGAGAAAAUCCCUAGGAAUGCCAUGAAAGAGUAAGAUGGAUGAAAGCAGAAGUGCAUGACCUCUGAGUAACCAGUCUCACAGGUUUGUCCCAAACUGUGUGUGAAAAGAAGGAAGGCUGGGCAGAAUUCAGCAUUUGAAUGGCUGGAAGGAGCUGCCAUUCUAGAAUUGGUAUUUGGCAGCAUAUAGAAAGUAACCAGGAAGACCAAAUAUCCCAAGGAUUGUGGCUAGAGCUGUGAGCAGACUGAGCUGGAAGUGGAAUGGAGGGAGAUAGACCAUGAAGAAACAGCAUGCUUACAAUGAUCCAAGAUAUUGAACUCACCUACCCUUUACUGUCAAUUCAGUAGUUUUGCACUGAAUUGACAUAUCUGUAUUGCUGCAUAUCUGUAAGGAGAGGAGGAGGAAUGCAAAGCCAGAAGACCACUGUGCAGUACAAAUGUGGAAGAGAAUUCUGUAAGAAUUAGAGGUUGGUCUUCUUUUCAUCUGACAAAAACAAGAAAUACAUGCAGUCAUACUGAAAUUCUGUUUGUGUCUCUUAUUGGCAGCGGGUGGCUUAUCAUUGUUUGUCCCGCAGUUGUGUCUGGAAAUUGCCAACCAAUUAAAACGCACAAAGUUAGCAAAAUUGGUUACUCAUUUUCCCAAAAAUGUAUACUGAAUGUGCUGUAAAUGAACUUGCUUUAGAAAGUUCAGUGAAGUAUACAGAUUCCAGUUACUGGUAAUGACUUAAAAUAAGGCAAUAAAAAUGUCACAGCUGAGUAUGGUUUUUACCCUUUAAUUUUAGUUCUUGAUGUGGCUCACUGAAAACUAUAAUUGAAAUGACUGGUGGAGUUAUGACUGCCAAACUCUGUCUUUGUUAAUGUCGAAGUAAAAGAAGGUAUGAAGCUAGGGGUUGGGGAAUGAGAGGAAGCUAGGGGAGGGAAUGGCAUGGGAGAGUCUGUUGUGGAUCUGGAUUUAUUUUUUUUCUUUUUUUUUUUUUUUGAUACAGAGUCUCACUCCGUUGCCUAGGCUGGAGUGCAGUGGAGCCAUCCCGGCUCACUGCAACCUCCACCUCCCGGGUUCAUGCAAUUCUCCUGCCUUAGCCUCCUGAGUAGCUGGGAUUACAGGCAUGUGCCACCACACCCAGCUAAUUUUGUAUAUUUAGUAGAGACAGGGUUUCACCAUGUUAGCUAGGCUGAUCUUGAACUGCCGACCUCAGGUGAUCCUCCUGCCUGGGUCUCCCAAAGUGCUGGGAUUACAGUCGUGAGCCACCGCGCCCUGCCUGGAUCUGGACUUCUUAUCAGAAUUAGUGGUGGGUAAAUCCCUGAGGUUUCUUUAUAAUCUGCCUGGGAUUAGAUUCUCUGUAAAAUCAGCUGAUUCACAAUAUAACUGCUUUCUAUUUUAAAAUAUCUUAACACUUAAACAAUGUUACCACACUUUGCAACAUAAAAUGUACAAUAAUUGUAAGAGAAAUUUCAC